rnacentral:lncRNA from 1 species
UCUAGAUCGGUCCAUUAAGGUUGGUCUUAAAUGGUUCACCCCGAGUCAUCUCGAAAAGGAGAUGGUAAAGAUGGGAAAUGAGGAAUGGGCCCAUGGAAGCAUCGUCAAAAUUAUGAAAGGCUUCUACUAAGGGGAUCCAUUCAACCUUUACUCUCUUGGAUAUGUUGGGGAAAACUUGCUUGUUAAGCCAGUAUAGAAUGAAGUACAUGUGCUUUUGAGCUAAAUUUGCAUUAAGGGAAUCAACGCCAAAGUUCUUCUUCACAAAAGGGAUGAAACCUUUGAAUGGGAUGAAACCUUUGAAUGAUGUCCUAUAGCUUUUGAAGGUUGCAGAGUUAUAUUCCAGUUGGAUUAGGGAGCCGAAGAACCUGAACUUUCAGCAAUCGGGCGAGAAAGAGGAGCCCAAUCGUGAGUAACAUCCACGACUCUGCCCGAAGAACUCCAGAAAAGAAGAGCAGUGGUGAGUAACUCGGGUUUUGCAACUAUGGUAGUCUUUGAGAGCAUUAUCAACUCAUAGAUGCCAUUGUCUAUCCAUUGAAUCCAAGAUGGGUUGUUCAUUAGAGGAAAGCCGCGACAAUAUUACAACCACUUAGAUGAGGAAAUGCAUGACUCAGCCGUAAAUAGGUUAGGGGUGAACCAAUUGUCCCUAGGCAUGUUAGCCUCUACUACACUUGGAACCCUAGAAGUCCAUGUGGGUCCCAAGGAAUGCACCUCAUUUUCUUCAAAAAGAAAUUCAGUACCCAGCCUGCCCGAUGACGAUGCAGGCUGUUAAGUAAGAAACGCAUGACGACGAUACCUUCACCAGAUUCAUAAGAGGGUUGAAUUUGAGUGGUCUCUAAGGCCAUUAGAAAGAUUUGGAAAGUGAAUAUGGAAAAGAUGAUGAAAAAGAAAAAUCUGGAAAAAUUGAGAGACCUAAGUAUCUAGAAAAUAUGAAAACUUGGAAAGAUUGAGAUAUUUAACCAAAGAGUUUGAAAGAAGAGAUUAAUAGUGAACGGUUAAUUAACAAUUAAAGUUCGUGGGUUAGUGCAACGAAUCCAAUGCAUAAACGG